rnacentral:rRNA from 1 species
ACGCACGCUGGCGGCAUGCCUAACACAUGCAAGUCGAACGAGACCUUCGGGUCUAGUGGCGCACGGGUGCGUCACGCGUGGGAACCUGCCCUUAGGUUCUGAAUAACUCCCCGAAAGGGGUGCUAAUACCGGAUAAUGUCUUCGGACCAAAGAUUUAUCGCCUUUGGAUGGGCCCGCGUUGGAUUAGCUAGUUGGUAGGGUAAAAGCCUACCAAGGCGACGAUCCAUAGCUGGUCUGAGAGGAUGAUCAGCCACACUGGGACUGAGACACGGCCCAGACUCCUACGGGAGGCAGCAGUGGGGAAUAUUGGACAAUGGGCGAAAGCCUGAUCCAGCAAUGCCGCGUGAGUGAUGAAGGCCUUAGGGUUGUAAAGCUCUUUUACCCGGGAUGAUAAUGACAGUACCGGGAGAAUAAGCUCCGGCUAACUCCGUG